rnacentral:rRNA from 1 species
UACAGAGGGUGCAAGCGUUGCUCGGAAUUAUUGGGCGUAAAGGGUAGGUAGGUGGUCUCAUUUGUCUGGGGUGAAAGCCUUGGGCUUAACUCAAGAAGUGCCCCAGAAACGGUGAGACUAGAGUCCUGGAGAGGGUCGUGGAAUUCCCGGUGUAGCGGUGAAAUGCGUAGAGAUCGGGAGGAACACCAGAGGCGAAAGCGGCGACCUGGACAGGCACUGACACUCAACUACGAAAGCGUGGGGAGCAAACAGG